rnacentral:rRNA from 1 species
AACGAACGCUGGCGGCAGGCCUAACACAUGCAAGUCGAGCGAGGACUUCGGUUCUAGCGGCGGACGGGUGAGUAACGCGUGGGAAUGUGCCCUUCUCUACGGAAUAGCCCUGGGAAACUGGGAGUAAUACCGUAUACGCCCUAUUGGGGAAAGAUUUAUCGGAGAAGGAUCAGCCCGCGUUGGAUUAGGUAGUUGGUGGGGUAAUGGCCUACCAAGCCGACGAUCCAUAGCUGGUUUGAGAGGAUGAUCAGCCACACUGGGACUGAGACACGGCCCAGACUCCUACGGAAGGCAGCAGUGGGGAAUCUUAGACAAUGGGGGCAACCCUGAUCUAGCCAUGCCGCGUGAGUGAUGAAGGCCUUAGGGUUGUAAAGCUCUUUCAGCUGGGAAGAUAAUGACGGUACCAGCAGAAGAAGCCCCGGCUAACUCCGUG